rnacentral:snoRNA from 1 species
GUUUGUGGAUGAUGAGACAAACAAAUCACAGUUAUCCCUGUCUGAUACAAAUUCUGUUGAAAAGUUUGUGAUCUGACCAAAC